AAUAGUUCAAAAGCAAGAGCAGUAUUUCCACUUUGAUGACAAUGACUUGGGAAUGGAGUGAAUAUGCCCUGCUAGUGUGAAGCAGCCUUCAUUGAACCCCCAAAAUGCAUUUUAAGAUCCUGAAAACUAAUGUGGCCUGUUUAACAUAUGAGCUGUUUGAAGGGAAGUAUCUGGUGGUGCUGUGUGCUUGCGCACACUCUCAUUCUGCUUCUCCCUCAAUUCUCUUUAAGACUUCACAAUACUUCUGCAGCUGGGGAACUUGGGCAGACGGUGCAUGCCUAUCUGCCGAUAGCAGGCCGAGUGGUGCUUGCAAAAACUCCUUAAUGUUUCUCCCAAGACAUUCCUUAUUUUUACCUUGAAAUGCACGUGCACUUUACAGGAGGACUCUUACAAGUAGGAGCGGAUGGGAGAUAAGGAAUCCAUUGCUCACUGGUCGAGAACAUGAGUUGCAUCAAGGAGGUUAAAGACUCACACCUCAACUAGGAUUAAGAAAAUUGAAAUCUUGCUUCCUGAGCUCUACUCCUUUUGGGUAAAUAGCAUGCCAGUUCUAACUCGAUAUAAGGCAACUUCCUAUAUCCCUAUGGGCAUAGCAUAAACACCAUCAGUAGUGGGACAUUCAGCUAUCCCCAUUCUCUUUCCACCUCCCUUCAUGUGCUGCUUUUAACGCUUCAAUCCUGCAUAGUUUGAGCCACUUGUUGUACCUGCAUUGUGGUUUAAUGUCGGCUUGCUAAUCAAGAGCAAAGCAUGGUUUAAGAGCUAGGCUGGUGAACCAUAAUUAAACUACAUAUCCCUUUUGGGGAUGCAAUGGGGAACUGUAGUUCAAACAGCCCAGGAUAGAAGCAUCAAAGCCAGGAAAUGGACAGAGGAGCAAUGGGGGCUGCACUUGUUCCUGGCCUCAAAAAUAAGGAACUGAAUUGGGCUUAAAAAGUCCCACCUAGAUUUCUUUUAUUUAAGGUACUUAAGAAAACCUGCACACAGCUUCCAUUUUCUGUACAAUGAGGACUCUUUGACAAUUAUAGCUGUCGCUGACCUAAGGCAACAUCCACCAUGAAUAGAGAGAUACAGGUAGCUAAAGCCAAAAAUAAUAUAAUUACUAAGUUCAACCUUUUUCAUUUUCACUAGCAGUAUCUUGGCAACUACAGCAAUAUGAAGUUGAUGUGAAAUUAAGGAAACUUACAUGAGCACCUCACUGCGGACUCUCUACCCCACUCUUGAGACACCAUCAGUACAAGCACACUAUCUUAGGCAGGUCUGCAUGGAGCAGCCUCCCUUCUGAGAUCCUGAUAACUUAGCAGAAUGAGAGCCACAUAGUAAGGUAGAGAUAUUCUGGAGAGUGUUUGUAGACAGAACUGUAGCUUGUGUUACUAAAAUUCUAAAAUUGACCUUUAAUACAGAAGGUUAAACAUCCUUCCUGUACUUUAUUUUAAGGCAUCUAUAAACCUGAUUAAAUGUUCUAUGGAUGCCUUAAAUAAUUAGCCAAUAAUAAAUAGAUUUUGAAUUCUGGGUGUGUUUAUAGGGAGAUAGCCAUUUUGCCAAAAUGUUUUAACACAGCGCAGAACCUCUACCUUGUGGAUGUCUCCGUGGCAGGUGAGGGUGUAGGACAGAAGGAAAAAAGAGUGACUAGAAAGUAGUUGUAGGAAAGAGUAAAUAAGAAGAAUGAGCGGGACCAAACUCAGUAGAUACAAAUGACAAUGGCAUUGCUGAGGUUACAGUAAUGUAGCUAAUGCACCACAGGAGCUGAUAGGGAUAUGUUCUCCAUUUGGAGCUAGCAAUGGUUUGCAGCCCAAAGCAUUGGUAAGUACUUGACGGUUAACACAACUCUUAGCCUUAUGUUCCUCUCCUAAACCAAAGAGACAACAGUCACGUCUCUUGGGAUUGUGCUAUCGGCACCCAGUGGCAACCACGAGAACCACUGCGAGCAAACAAAAAAUGCAAAAUGAAAGAACUACAAGAAGCAAAAGGUAGGUACCGGUAAAUGUGAUGGGGGGUGGGAUUUUGAACAGGGUAGAUUUAGCUUGUUUAGAUUAAGAACCAGCAAGAGGAAGUUAGCCUUGAUGCUGCUACUGUGUUGGUCAAAGAAGGGGCUCUGCACCUUAGGAUGUGUUCACAGGACUAAAGGGUACCUACCCUUCCACCAAAAUCUGUAGACUAGCAUUCUAGAAGGGUCUUAACAAAGGCUCUCUGCUUCUAUACAGAGAUCAUGAAGAACAGUAAACUACUGCAGGAAUUAAAAGAUUCAGAGUUUUAAAGUGUAUCUAAUUUUGUAGUGUCACUGAUAUAUAUUUUUACAGAUUAUGGCACAGAUUUACAAAGAGGAAGACACAAAGUUAUUUGUAUUUAAGCAGCAAUUAAAUGUAAGAUUGGGGCAUGGAUAUUUCAUGGUUGCUUCAGGGUGAGAUUCCAAGAGUAAUUAAAGUUAUUUACAGUCCUGUUUUUCUAAUAUUCAGCUAAGUUGCUGGAGCCAAAGUAAACAUUCUUCAAUUACUUGGGGGAGGGAUUAAAUUGCCUUGUGUUUGGGGAAUGAAAUGAUUUAAACUAUCCUUCCAUUAUCUUUUAUGCAGCCAUUUGAAGCGGUACAGCUUUGUUUUAAAGUGUUCUGCAAAUUGCAGUUUCUUGCAGAUGAAGCUGACAGUUUAAAAAAUAGCUUAAGUAUGCAUGAUGUAUACCUAGAGACCAUGUUUUAUUGAGUCAAAAUACUUUACAAAGAAACUAAUGGGAACUAUCAAACAUAAAUCAGCUGGUAAAGAAAAGCAGCUGUAUUGUUUAUAGACUUAUGAGUUUGAAUUUGUGAAAGGACAGAAGGCAUUUUCAAAACACUUUACAGAUUCUAAACAUUGCCCAAAUGUGAACCCAAGUGGGUUGCUAGGAAAUGCAACUACAAUGUAUACAUUAAAGGUGACUGAGAAUUAAUAUAUAUUCGAGAGCAUUUAAAAAUUCCAAUAACACAAGUUUUAUUGUAAAGAUUAAUAUUCCUGAAAAAUAUGAGAAAAAUCAAGUGAUUUUACAUCAUGUACUAUCAGUAGGGAUGGGCUGAACAGCAAAUUCUAACCUGUUUCAGUCUCACUGAUGCUCAAUAAUAGGUUUUAUGCAGAUUUUUUGAAACAAUACAUGGGAAGUCUGCAUUUAGACCAUGUGCACUUUACUACGUGAAAUAGGCCAUUCUCUAUGCACUGCAUUAAUUUCUAAAAUAUGUGUUUUGUACACA